rnacentral:rRNA from 1 species
UACAGAGGUCUCAAGUGUUGUUCGGAUUCAUUGGGCGUAAAGGGUGCGUAGGCGGCGCGGUAAGUCGGGUGUGAAAUCUUGGAGCUUAACUCCGAAACUGCAUUCGAUACUGCCGUGCUUGAGGACUGGAGAGGAGACUGGAAUUUACGGUGUAGCGGUGAAAUGCGUAGAUAUCGUAAGGAAGACCAGUGGCGAAGGCGGGUCUCUGGACAGUUCCUGACGCUGAGGCACGAAGGCCAGGGGAGCAAACGGG